AGCGAACGCUGGCGGCAGGCCUAACACAUGCAAGUCGAACGAACUCUUCGGAGUUAGUGGCGGACGGGUGAGUAACACGUGGGAACGUGCCUUUUGGCUCGGAAUAACUCAGGGAAACUUGUGCUAAUACCGAAUGUGCCCUUCGGGGGAAAGAUUUAUCGCCAUUAGAGCGGCCCGCGUCUGAUUAGCUAGUUGGUGAGGUAACGGCUCACCAAGGCGACGAUCAGUAGCUGGUCUGAGAGGAUGACCAGCCACACUGGGACUGAGACACGGCCCAGACUCCUACGGGAGGCGGCAGUGGGGAAUCUUGCGCAAUGGGCGAAAGCCUGACGCAGCCAUGCCGCGUGAAUGAUGAAGGUCUUAGGAUUGUAAAAUUCUUUCACCGGGGACGAUAAUGACGGUACCCGGAGAAGAAGCCCCGGCUAACUUCGUG
rnacentral:rRNA from 1 species